rnacentral:rRNA from 1 species
GGAGUUUGGGCCGUGUCUCAGUCCCAAUGUGGCCGUUCACCCUCUCAGGCCGGCUACUGAUCGUUGCUUUGGUGGGCCGUUACCUCACCAACUGGCUAAUCAGACGCGGGUCCAUCUUAUACCACCGGAGUUUUUCACACUGUGUCAUGCGACACCGUGCGCUUAUGCGGUAUUAGCAGUCAUUUCUAACUGUUGUCCCCCGGUAUAAGGCAGGUUACCCACGCGUUACUCACCCGUCCGCCACUAAGUUUACAAUCACUAGGUUUCAUGUAAACUCCGUUCGACUUGCAUGUGUUAAGCACGCCGCCAGCGUCGUCUCGAGCACGGAGUCAACUACU